GACCACCUCUUCUCUCCUCUCUCUCUUCUCUCAACUCUUCCCAAAAACAUAGAGAGACCAAACCACCGACAGUGAGUUUCUCCGGCCAUUUCUCUGCCAUCAGAUUUCUUCUCAACUGUGCAACUAUCUCUUUCUCUUCCUCUCCUUGCCUACAUCGCACCUGCAGUGGUUGCUCACUCAAUCAUCAAUUGAGGUACUCGAAUAGAGGCCGAGAAGCUCGGUGUGCACGGCCGGGUUUUGUGAGAUUUCCGGUGACUUUGACAACUGAUUCAUCUGCAUGUGGUAUGAAAAUUCACCCUCUUGUCGUGCUCUACGUUCUAGUAUAAUUAGUUUUUGGUUUCGAUUUAGUUUUGAUCAAGUUUGUGUGUCGGGUGUUUCCGAGCUUGGUCGAAAUUCAUUUUGCAUGGCGACCGUUCUGGGAAUCCUUGGUUCAUCUUCAACAUCUUGGAAAACGAGCUGGCUGUAGGACGAGUAUGAUAUCAUGGCUUGAGAAAGAGGGGGCCAAAACUAGCAAGUUGAAAACAAGAGCAGCAACCACGGUUUAAUCUUGAACUUGAUUUCAAGAAUCAGUGAAUUGAGGUAGGAGUGAGAAGAAGCUAAUGAUUUUAGCUUACUGUGUUAAUCGUCGACGGAGCUAGUUUCCUGGCAUUCGUUUGAUAUAAGUGAAGUCUAAACUGGCAAAUGAUAUGGAAGCCAAGGUUAAGGUGGCAUCGGUUCAUUGUGGCAGAGGGAUUGAGCAAGUCAUGUGUUUAUGAUUAUCCAAUGUUAACAAGGUACUUGCUGAAUAUA